UGGGGAAUUUUGGACAAUGGGCGAAAGCCUGAUCCAGCAAUGCCGCGUGUGUGAAGAAGGCCUUCGGGUUGUAAAGCACUUUUGUCCGGAAAGAAAUCCUUGGCUCUAAUACAGUCGGGGGAUGACGGUACCGGAAAAAUAAGCACCGGCUAACUACGUGCCAGCAGCCGCGGUAAUACGUAGGGUGCAAGCGUUAAUCGGAAUUACUGGGCGUAAAGCGUGCGCAGGCGGUUUGCUAAGACCGAUGUGAAAUCCCCGGGCUCAACCUGGGAACUGCAUUGGUGACUGGCAGGCUAGAGUAUGGCAGAGGGGGGUAGAAUUCCACGUGUAGCAGUGAAAUGCGUAGAGAUGUGGAGGAAUACCGAUGGCGAAGGCAGCCCCCUGGGCCAAUACUGACGCUCAUGCACGAAAGCGUGGGGAGCAAACAGGAUUAGAUACCCUGGUAGUCCACGCCCUAAACGAUGUCAACUAGUUGUUGGGGAUUCAUUUCCUUAGUAACGUAGCUAACGCGUGAAGUUGACCGCCUGGGGAGUACGGUCGCAAGAUUAAAACUCAAAUGAAUUGACGGGGUCAUAGCUGUUUCCU
rnacentral:rRNA from 1 species